CUGAAGGACAAAUCUCCUGUACCCCGAAGGUCACUUGGCCUGUCCUCUUGCCGCCCCGCUGACCUCACUGCCAGAAACCAUCGGUACCCUACGGGGACACUCCACCGCCCAUCCUAGACGCUACACCAAGCACCCCUGGUACUCGUUGGCUAACGGAUGGAUUCAUCAAGAGGAUCAGUCUUCAUGACGGAGUCCGGAAAGGACACCGCAAACACCUGACACAGGGUUUGCACUCUAUCUGGGACCAACCAGUGGAUGUCGGUGACACGCGGACACAGAUGUUUCCUCGGGACGAACGGCGCG